CGUAAAUCGGAUAUAAAAGGUGACGCUUUUUCCCUUCCGUCCUUCUCAGCUUCAACGCGUCUGCGAGUGUUAGUCAAGAAGGCUGGCUUAAACCUAGGAUUUUGGGCAUAUCCAUGUUGUUUGAAGUGCGUAGUCACCAACAUGUGCGGAAUGGUUUCGGGUGACAUUAAUGAUCCUCCCGUGAACGAACUGGGCAAUCGGGCUCCAGAACACAAUGUGGGUGGAUAAUCCUGCGAGUUGAUGCAUAACCUGCCCCUGCAGUAGCUUGUUCUAAUGGUGAUGUGAAGGAUGUCCACUAGAGGGCGCAACACCCUUUUGGUGUUUAGAAGUGUUGGAGGUCCCAUAUGACUAGACUGAAGAAUGAAUGCUGGCAGCUGAUUGCUCUGACAGUACUGAGACGAAAAGGCAUGUUCUUAAACGUUUCACAGUUGCAUGUGUAUGAAGUUGGUCAUAUACCAAGGCUUUUAGGAUACCUGGUUCCUGACUUGCUGUGGACUUGACCAAAAAUUAAAAUCCUGAUAACACCCUACAGUUUGCUGUUGGGUUUUAUUAGGAACAUUUUUCCUCUUAUGCUCUUAAUCUGAAAAUGGGAGGUCUUACAUGUUUAAUUGUUUAUGCAGUUACAGGUACGGUGUUGGAGUAAAGGCUUUCCCAGCCAGACUCUUCUUGGAAGGUGAGGGCUGUUCCACAUCUUUGGAUCACUUUCAAAGGGGGUCAGCCACUUCUUUUCACUGGUGACCCUUAACGCCGUGAUCCUACAUCAGUGCCCUAUGAGAUUUGCUUGGGGGUAGUUUUGUGCUAAAACUACUUUUGCUUUUCUUAAGGGCAACAUCUAAUUCAAUUAAAGCAAUAUCAUUUGUCAUGGUAUGAAUGCAAUUUUGUUCGCCUUUUCAACAGUUGGUGCUGGUGAGGAGAGCAUACUGUACAGGAAAUCUGGAAAGCUUCCGUUUUCAAUAAAUGUAAUUAAAAUCUG